CGCGCGUGUGUGUGUGUUUUAAUAAGGUGACUCUGCUCACCCUUUAGGCAGUCAUCUCGGUGCUAAAAAAGAGAAGUGUGACUCCCUCUGUCUUGAAGUCUGUUCGUGCAUCUGUGCUCUAAGGAUACCAGGCCCAUUGCUGAUACUACACAGCUACAUAACCAUGGUGCAGACUUCUGAGGAGAUUGCUGAGUUGUGGGGAAAAAAAAAAAGCUGUCAGAAAGUCUGAAGAGGAGAUUCGUGUGUGAUGAGAAAGCUGAAAUUGCAGAGAGGGCAAGACAAGGAAAAGCACCGCCAUGGGCAAGUAUAAAGUCAUAAAGAAAACCUAGGGUGGCAGAAGGUGGCAUGACUGCAGCUGUGCUCCAGGGACCUGCAGGAACUGCCCCUUCUUCUCCUGACUCUUGCCUGCCUGGCUAGCAAAGACUCUGCGUCUGUCUUCUAAGAAGUGGUGAGCAUAUUAAUGCCUAGCCUAGUAGUGAUCAUUUGUGUACGAUAACCAAUAAAUAAUUUUUUAUACUUCUAAGCUGAAGUAUACUUCUGCAAGCAGAAUCACUUUGUGCUUGGCUAAGGUGUCCAAACAGGGACCCAAAAAGGAAUGAUUACAGGAGAUAGAAGUUCACAGAUAAAGCAAAUGUAAGAAUUGUCCCCCCAAAAAGUGAUCUCAAAAAAACAGAGGUGCUUCCGAAUAAAAACCAUCUGGUUUUGGAGGGAGACUGGUGACUUCAUAGGGUGGAAGGAGGGUGGGGAAUUAGGGUGGAAAUGUCUAGCUACAAAGGAUCUGUGGGAGAAAGGAGGUGUUCACGGAGCUGAAGAUGUGGUGAGGCUCAUGAGAGAGAACAACAGUAGCAGAAGGCUUUCAGAAGGCAAAGUUCAACAGCUGGCUUGGAAACCAGCUGUGAUACUAAUGGCCAAUUUUAUGAAAUUAGAGUUAGCAACCUCUAGCAAAGGCCUUCUCCAAAUGAUACAGAUGUAAUAUUGAAACAUUUAAUAAAAAGGGAAAAAUAAAAACAAAAUGAAGUUCACCUUGUUGAAUCACAAGGUGAAAAUAGAUUCGGUGCAUCACUGAGUCAUGACUGAAAUCUUUCUAAGGUGUACUUCCAAAGAGAAUUUUCGGGAAAAAGUAUUUCUUGAAAGUGUAUAUUUUGUGAAUGAUACCUACAAGGAAAAAAAAAAAAAAGACUUAGUUUGACUAUAAAUAAAUGUGAUGGUGAAAUGCAGUUCGGGGCAUCAUAUGGGAAGAUAAUUUCUCAGAGCAGGGAAUGCAGUUACUUUUUUCAUUAAUUGCUUUUUCCAGUUCCUGUCCUGCUUCUUUUCAAGUCUGUGGGAAACAAAUAUAAAACACUGGGACUACAUCUUUGCUAGUGACAUUUUUAGUAACUGGUAACAUUACUAAAGCCAAGCCAACAGUUAAGGAACAGUCCACAAUUAAGAGUGGGCUUGAAUUUUAUAGAAUAGGUACAGCUUGCAUUAAUUGUUGAGUUUGUUAUUGCAAAUAAAAAGAGUCAAAUUCCAGAGAAAGCAAAAAAGAGAAAGAUUUUUGAUUACUGGGAAGAAGAGCUAGAUGCAUGUACUUGAAGUUAAAAGUUCCAGAAAGCUAUACCACAUUUCAUCCAAAAGUGUGAAGAGGAAAGGAAAACGGUGAUACAUCAAUGUCAGAAAAACACCCAAAAGUGACGAAAAAGAAGAAAGUGCAUUUAAGUGCUGCUCAAGAAAACAAGUAACUUUAGUUACAAUAGUAAUUACCAUGGCAUUGUAUUAUUAAUUACUACUUACCACUUUCUGACUAUUCUUUUGAUUAUAAGCUGAACAAUUGCAGUGUCUCCCAGUAUUUGAAGCCAAGUCUCUCAACAGUAUGUAAGCAGAAGAAAACCAUCAUCAUCGGCUGGAUAGACAUUGCAUCAUUAGUCCAAAUACAGUUUAGAAAUCUAAAGUCUCUGUUAUCUGUUAAAUCUAAAACUUCAACUGGUGAAUAAACCUUUAUUAUAGAAUUCUGACUAAAGGGGGAAAACCCCUAAACUGCCUAAUUUAAAUUGUCCUUAGAAAUGCUCAAGAAGACUUUUAUUUGUCAUAUUCUAUGAAAUAAGAACCUAUCUUAAGCUGCAAAUUAGAAAGCUGGAACAUAGGUUACCAGAAGUCCACUGAACAAUGGACUUUCCAGAUGCAGCCCUGUAAUAUGGCCUCUCAGAUGGAAUCAGAACAAAAAACCAUAUAUAUAUAUAUGAAGUAUGUGACAGUUCUCCUAUUUAGUUGAUUUAAGCCAAGAAAAUCAUUCAACGCAGAAGGCUAACAGUCUCAGCCUUUCUGAACAAAAAGGUCCUAUGCAAUAUAGUAAGUAUAUAGGUAGUACGUAGUAGUUGGUUAGACAUGCUGAACCUUACCAGAGGUUCAGUCCAAGCCUGAAGGAAUUUGUUUGAGUUUAGUCAUAUCCAACAUUGCAUACCAGCUUUAUAUGAUAUAACUUGCAGGCUGACCAGCCUGUAGUUGAUUUGAGCGGCAAGUGAGGCUAUGAUUGGCAUAGUUAAUUAAACAAAACAUAAAUAUUGUGAAGACUAACUGACAUUGUGUGAUUUAAGGCUCCUUAAAUAAAAUGGAACAAUAUUGUUUAUGAGGAACACAUUAACACUAGUCUUUCAUGGUUGUAUUGAUUAAAGUUUGUCUUUAUCUUG